UACGUAGGGGGCAAGCGUUGUCCGGAUUUAUUGGGCGUAAAGAGCGUGUAGGCGGCUAGAUAGGUCCGUUGUGAAAACUGGAGGCUCAACCUCCAGCUGUCGAUGGAAACCAUCUGGCUAGAGUCCGGAAGAGGAGAGUGGAAUUCCUGGUGUAGCGGUGAAAUGCGCAGAUAUCAGGAAGAACACCCGUGGCGAAGGCGGCUUGCCAGAACGCACUCGACGGUGAGGGAUGAAAGCUGGGGGAGCAAACCGG
rnacentral:rRNA from 1 species